rnacentral:rRNA from 1 species
GACGAACGCUGGCGGCGUGCUUAACACAUGCAAGUCGAACGGAAAGGCCUGCUUUCCCUUGUGGAUUGCGGGUACUCGAGUGGCGAACGGGUGAGUAACACGUGAGUGAUCUGCCCCCAACUUGGGUAUAAGCCUGGGAAACUGGGUCUAAUUCCCGAUAGGACUGCAGGGUGGUGCCUGUGGUGGAAAACGAUUUUCUAGUGGUUGGGGAUGAGCUCGCGGCCUAUCAGCUUGUUGGUGGGGUAAUGGCCUACCAAGGCGGCGACGGGUAGCCGGCCUGAGAGCGUGGACGGCCACAUUGGGACUGAGAGACGGCCCAGACUCCUACGGGAGGCAGCAGUGGGGAAUAUUGCACAAUGGGCGGAAGCCUGAUGCAGCGACGCCGCGUGGGGGAUGACGGCCUUCGGGUUGUAAACUCCUUUCGACCGCGAGGAAGCCACCUGGUUGGAAGGGUGGUGACGGUAGUGGUAGAAGAAGCACCGGCUAACUACGUG